rnacentral:rRNA from 1 species
UACGGAGGGUGCGAGCGUUGUCCGGAAUCAUUGGGCGUAAAGGGCGCGUAGGUGGCGGGACAAGCGUGCGGUGAAAGCUCGGGGCUCAACCCCGGGUCGGCCGUGCGAACUGUUUUGCUUGAGCACUGUAGAGGCAGGCGGAAUUCCGGGUGUAGCGGUGGAAUGCGUAGAUAUCGAGAGGAACACCUGCGGCGAAGGCGGGUUGCUGGGCUGACACUGACGCUGAUGCGCGAAAGCCAGGGGAGCGAACGGG